AAUAAAAUGGCUGAUUUAGGCGAUAAAUUGUAAAUUUAUUUAUGAAAUUUUUUUUUCUUUUAUUA
rnacentral:tRNA from 1 species